CUCUAAACUUGAAACAAAACCGGCGUACUUUGCCGAGUAUUCCCUUCUUUGCAAGUCAUUCCAUUAACUUUGAAAGCCUGUUUACAAUGAGUCUUCAGUUCACCGUCUGGAUAGUAUCCGAAAUCAAAAGUAAACAGUAUCUGGCUGUGGCUCAGUGGGUAGCACCCACGAUUCUGAGCCAAAAGGUCGUGAGUUCAAAUUUCAUUUCGUAUUCGUGAUCCGGGCCCAUUCUGUGAGUGCAGUAUUGAAGCUUUGCAGCGGUUGUUGAAAUGUUAAGUUGAAACUCUGCCGGCCUUCUCCAAGAGGACCCUAACGCUAUUUGAAGAGCAAUGGAGUUGAGAUCCCCGUCUCCAAGGCAAUAGAUACGCUCGGUGGCCACUUUAUUAGAGAAAUCUGGUCUAACUCAAUUUUGCCCUUGGAUUUGAGUUUGGAGAACCAUUCUCCUUAUGAGGCAAUCCACUUUAAACUCGAUGGACACAAAGAAACUUUGCCAAGGAUGGUCCCACGCCCACCUAUGAAAGGAAAAGGGUUGACCAUGGGGCUAGCAACCACAACCAUAUAAAAACCCAGAGCUACAAUAAUGCCAACAGAAGCUCCAAGGACCUCAUCCUUAGGAGAAGAAGGAUACAUAUGAAGGUGGGCUACAUCUGGGGAUAACUUGAAAGACUGGUCCCAGGGCAGAAGACUCUGGUUACACACGCCAAAUCCUCAGCAAAUUCACCACAAGCCACAUAUCGACUCAUAUCCUGCCUGGGUCAGGCAUCAUGCAGUACAGCUAUGCAACUCGGUGCCAAACUGCAUUCCAUCCUUUCAAAAGUUUUCUUCUCCUCAAUGCUUGUUUCAUCAGAGCAGGAAGUAAAAGCAUCUUUUUAAAAAAAAACAAAACAUACUUCAAUCCAUUACGAACAAAAUAAUGUGUGUUGGUUGAUAUUGAUUUCACUGUGUAUGGAAUUCACUUUUCUGCCAUCCUGUCAACUCAGUACUGAGUGAGACAUCCUGGUUAGGCUGGUGGAACUCUUGCUUCUGAUUGUGAAGAUUGUGGGUUCAAGUCUCAAGUGCAGACUUGACUCCCACAUCACUACAUGACAAAACUUCCAAAAGUCCUUUAUGGUGUGUAAAACACUAUUUCAAAUGUCCUGAUAUUGUGAAGAAUGUUUUCUUUCUUUCUCACGCUGACAUUUUGGAGGUAUGCCUUGUUGGAAUAGGUAUUAAGUUAAACUAAUGGUAGGUUGGCUUGAUUGAAUGGAUUUUAGUGUGACUGUAAACUCAGCAGCCACUUUGUUUCAGGAAUGGAAUCUGAUGUCGUCUUCUGCUGCUCUAGUCCAUCCAUUUCAAGGUCUGAUGCAUUGUGUGUUCAGAGAUGUUGUUCUGCACACCACUGUUGUAACAGGUCUGAUGUCUUAUGGUCUUGUAGGAGAAUGCGGUUGAGAGGGAAUUGGAUCAGCCAUGAUGAAAUAGUGGAGCGAUCUCAAUGGGCAAAUACCUUAACUCUGCUCCUAUGUCUUAUGGUCUGGUUAGUUAAAUCAAUGUCACCUUUCUGACUGGUUCAACAUGACUAGCCAUCAUCUAAGCUGCAUGGGU